rnacentral:rRNA from 1 species
GACGAACGCUGGCGGCGCGCCUAACACAUGCAAGUCGAACGAGCGAGAGAGAGCUUGCUUUCUCGAGCGAGUGGCGAACGGGUGAGUAACGCGUGAGGAACCUGCCUCAAAGAGGGGGACAACAGUUGGAAACGACUGCUAAUACCGCAUAAGCCCACGGCUCGGCAUCGAGCAGGGGGAAAAGGAGCAAUCCGCUUUGAGAUGGCCUCGCGUCCGAUUAGCUAGUUGGUGAGGUAACGGCCCACCAAGGCGACGAUCGGUAGCCGGACUGAGAGGUUGAACGGCCACCUUGGGACUGAGACACGGCCCAGACUCCUACGGGAGGCAGCAGUUGGGAAUAUUGCACAAUGGGGGAAACCCUGAUGCAGCGACGCCGCGUGGAGGAAGAAGGUCUUCGGAUUGUAAACUCCUGUUGUUGGGGAAGAUAAUGACGGUACCCAACAAGGAAGUGACGGCUAACUACGUG